rnacentral:rRNA from 1 species
GUCGAACGAAGCUGCUUGACGGAAGCCUUCGGGUGGAAGAUAAGUAGACUGAGUGGCGGACGGGUGAGUAACACGUGGGCAACCUGCCUGUAAGACUGGGAUAACACCGGGAAACCGGUGCUAAUACCGGAUAAUCCUUUUCCUCUCAUGAGGAAAAGCUGAAAGUCGGUUUCGGCUGACACUUACAGAUGGGCCCGCGGCGCAUUAGCUAGUUGGUGAGGUAUCGGCUCACCAAGGCGACGAUGCGUAGCCGACCUGAGAGGGUGAUCGGCCACACUGGGACUGAGACACGGCCCAGACUCCUACGGGAGGCAGCAGUAGGGAAUCUUCCACAAUGGACGAAAGUCUGAUGGAGCAACGCCGCGUGAGCGAUGAAGGCCUUCGGGUCGUAAAGCUCUGUUGUUAGGGAAGAACAAGUACCGGAGUAACUGCCGGUACCUUGACGGUACCUAACCAGAAAGCCACGGCUAACUACGUGCCAGCCGCCGCCGUAACAC